GCAUGAUGAGACACUAAUGGAUCGCUGACGCUGAGGGCACACGCCCAAAUGCAAGACAAGACCGUUAUUCUUUGCUCAACCUCUGAUG
rnacentral:snoRNA from 1 species